rfam:Triticum aestivum genome assembly, contig: Triticum_aestivum_CS42_TGACv1_scaffold_227438_3B
AAUAUACCCUCUUUGUCCAUAAAUACUUGUUGGAGAAAUGGAUAAAAAUGGAUAUAUCUAGAACUAAAAUACAUCUAAAUACAUCUAUUUCUUCGACAAGUAUUUCUAGACGGAGAGAGUAUGAU